UACGUAGGUCCCGAGCGUUGUCCGGAUUUAUUGGGCGUAAAGCGAGCGCAGGUGGUUUAUUAAGUCUGGUGUAAAAGGCAGUGGCUCAACCAUUGUAUGCAUUGGAAACUGGUAGACUUGAGUGCAGGAGAGGAGAGUGGAAUUCCAUGUGUAGCGGUGGAAUGCGUAGAUAUAUGGAGGAACACCGGUGGCGAAAGCGGCUCUCUGGCCUGUAACUGACACUGAGGCUCGAAAGCGUGGGGAGCAAACGGG
rnacentral:rRNA from 1 species